rnacentral:piRNA from 1 species
UGCAGUCAAAAUAGAUUCUGUUAUGUGUA